rnacentral:tRNA from 1 species
GCGGGGUUAGUACAUUGGCAGUACAUAAGCUUCCCAAGCUUAAAAGGCGGGUUCGAUUCCCGUACCCCGCUCCA